rnacentral:rRNA from 1 species
AAUAGAUACCCUGGUAGUCCACCCCGUAAACGUUGGGAACUAGUUGUGGGGACCAUUCCACGGUUUCCGUGACGCAGCUAACGCAUUAAGUUCCCCGCCUGGGGAGUACGGCCGCAAGGCUAAAACUCAAAGGAAUUGACGGGGACCCGCACAAGCGGCGGAGCAUGCGGAUUAAUUCGAUGCAACGCGAAGAACCUUACCAAGGCUUGACAUAUACGAGAACGGGCCAGAAAUGGUCAACUCUUUGGACACUCGUAAACAGGUGGUGCAUGGUUGUCGUCAGCUCGUGUCGUGAGAUGUUGGGUUAAGUCCCGCAACGAGCGCAACCCUCGUUCUAUGUUGCCAGCACGUAAUGGUGGGAACUCAUGGGAUACUGCCGGGGUCAACUCGGAGGAAGGUGGGGAUGACGUCAAAUCAUCAUGCCCCUUACGUCCAGGGCUACACACGUGCUACAAUGGCCGGUACAGCGUGUCGCCAACUCGCGAGAGUGCGCCAAUCACGAAAAGCCGGUCUAAGUUCGGAUUGCAGUCUGCAA